rnacentral:lncRNA from 1 species
UGAAGUCAUUUUUCUCCAGUGAUGCUGGAGGAUGAUGUAAUGGAAUCUUCCGCACCGCUCUAAUCCCUGCCCAUUAGUGCUGCACCCUAGAUGGAUGCUUUCCAGGCAGCACAUAGAACUUACUAAUAAUAACUCAAUAUCCAUUGAGUAUCCUGUAGCAAUAAUGAAAGUAGACCCAAAACUAAACCUACAUAUAUUUGCAUGACCCAUCUAUUAUCUUAUUCAAGUUCUCAUAUUGAAGUAUGGGUGUUUUUAAUGUGGAAGCUCUAUUUAUACUAUAGGUGGAAGAUUAAGUGAAAGGGACACUUUAUCAUCUGCUGAAGUUUAUCUCAGGCAAGAGAUUCAAAAUAAAAAUUUCUGCAUAUUCCCAACAUAAUAUUCCCAUCUCUGCCUAUUGUUAUAGCUUCUCUUUUCUGGAUUGAAACAUCUACUCCUAGAGCCAGGUCUCUUAAGUCUCAGAAAGUAAACUAACAAGUCUCAGGAAGUUCCUGAAGCUUACACGAGCACAAGGAUCCUCCCCAAGGCUAUACAAGUUGUAACAAUUAUGAGAGGAGACUCUAGUCGGUCAUACUGACUACAGAGAGUGCCAGGGAUGCAGCCUUUGUGAAUCUUCCUUCACUCAUGCUGGGGUGAACUUUGUGGGGAUACAGAUCUCUUUGAGUCAUAUGUAACACUGUAACUUCUUACCCACACUUCUGUAAAUGACCCCAAUAAGGUCACUGUUUCACUUAGAUAAAUCUGUAUAGAAUUGUUUAUUUGGUCUGUGAUCUCAGUUCUAUCUGGGAUGAACAGACACUUGUUUAUCUAUUUCCAGAAGUCAUACAACCAACACGGGACAACAUGAAUGCUAUUACUCCCCAAUAUAGCCAUCCCUUACUGUAUCUGAAUCAUAUAUUUGCCUCGGUAGGAUAGACAGUUAAUUCAUUUUGACAAGAGUAAACAUAUUUAUUUGAAUCAUAAGUAAAUAAAAGUCACUCUUGAAAUUUUGUCUAUGCUGAACUUGGAGUUCUGAAGCUUCCAGGGUGCUAGAACUACAGGCAUGCACCACCUUGCCUACCUUUAUCUUACAUUCCUAAAUUGUACUCAUCCGUGUGAACAAUUCAUAUAGAUCUGCCUCUAAGAUAGAAACAGGGGCUCAAGAAAUGCCUCCAUGGCUAAGAUCACUGGCUGCUCUUCCAGAGAACCAGCAUCCACAAAGCAGUUUGCAGGCAUAUGUAAUUCCUAGGUGAUUUUAUGCUCCCUUCUGUCCUCCAAGGCUACUGCAUGCUCACAGUGCACUGACAUACAUGGCAGAUACUCAUACAUAUAAAAUAAAAUUAAAGUUGUUUUUUUUUUCUUAAAAAAAAAUACAAAAUUGUAAGUUUGUUGAAAGUCCUACAUCAGAAGUAGUUUGUGGAUUCUCAUAACUGAGUGAGAUUAGUGGCUAUGGACUAUUUACAGUCUAUGAUUAAAUUGAACUAUUAUAGUCCUUAGCUUUGCAGAUUCUUUGAUUAUUCAGACUUGGUAGGAAACUUGGACCAAAUUCCAGAUGUAGAUGACCAGCAGCAGAUGGGAUUGUCAGAUAGCCACCUUCUGGCCAGGGGUUCCAGUCUGUCUCAUACAGCAGGUUUCAGCUGCCUCUGGAUAGCAGCCUUGCAGUCUUUGGCCGUGGUGCAUCCCUCGCCUACAAGCAAUGGGGCAGGGAACCUACCAAACUAGACUGUUCUGUGGGUAGGAAGAAUUACUGUGGAUCAGACUGCCAAGGUCAUUCUGGGGGUGAGGGAUCAGAGAGAGAAGAAUAAAAUGCUGAAGAGCAAGUGGGUUUUCUAUGACAGUGGGCCGGGACGGUGCAGGCUGUUGGGAAUAAGCAGGAACUAAGUGCCCUUGCUGAGGUUGUUAGCCUUUGGGAAAGGUUAAGGGGAUUUCUGGAGGAUUAGGAGUGGUUCCUGACAAACAGAAGCCUGAUUUAGGAGAUUUGCUUUUCUGGUAAACGGAAGUGCUCCUUCAGGAGGCCUGUUUUACCCAACAACUGAUCCUUUCAUAACACACAGUGCACUUUUUACAGAAUAUCAGUUUCUUGUAUGACUCAGACUAUCCAAAUACCUAAAGCUAUUUUCAGGAGGACCUCUGUGAGUUAGAGGCCAGCCUGCUCUACAGAGUGAGCUCUAGGACAGCCAGAA